UUCCGCCUGAUUCGGGCCCGGCCUUCUCCAGGCCGCCGGUUGGGGCCUUCCCAGGGCUGCUGGCCGAGAAUCUUAGGUAGUGGCGGCUUCGCCCUCAGUUAGGGCGAGCGAGCCCGGCAGAGGGGCAGGGCAGCCUGGGACCCUUCUACUCUGCUCUGCCUCUUCCUGCUGUUGGGGACCUGCGGAAGCUGCCUUACCAUUUCACCUGAGGAACGUGGAGGUGCAGUUGAGUCCUGCAAUCUGAGCCACCACUGACGUGCAUAACGGCAGCCCUCCCUGCCUUCUCCCUGAACCAGGUUGAAUGGAGCAGAGCCUCAAGCUGGACAUGCUGCUGCCCCAUCCACUGUGCACCCCUCCUGCCCUGGCUGCCCUCUUCCAGCAUCCACAGGAGUCCUGCAUGUGCAGAAACAGCGAGAAGACAGCCGUCUGUGAACCAGGAAGUGGGCCCUCACCAGGCACUGAAUCUGCUUAUGCCUUAAUCUUGGACUUCCCUGACUCCUGAAUUGUAAGAAUUAAAUUUCUGUUUAUAAGCCUCA